rnacentral:rRNA from 1 species
GAUGAACGCUGGCGGCGUGCCUAAUACAUGCAAGUCGAGCGAACGGACGAGAAGCUUGCUUCUCUGAUGUUAGCGGCGGACGGGUGAGUAACACGUGGAUAACCUACCUAUAAGACUGGGAUAACUUCGGGAAACCGGAGCUAAUACCGGAUAAUAUUUUGAACCGCAUGGUUCAAAAGUGAAAGACGGUCUUGCUGUCACUUAUAGAUGGAUCCGCGCUGCAUUAGCUAGUUGGUAAGGUAACGGCUUACCAAGGCAACGAUGCAUAGCCGACCUGAGAGGGUGAUCGGCCACACUGGAACUGAGACACGGUCCAGACUCCUACGGGAGGCAGCAGUAGGGAAUCUUCCGCAAUGGGCGAAAGCCUGACGGAGCAACGCCGCGUGAGUGAUGAAGGGCUUCGGAUCGUAAAACUCUGUUAUUAGGGAAGAACAUAUGUGUAAGUAACUGUGCACAUCUUGACGGUACCUAAUCAGAAAGCCACGGCUAACUACGUG